rnacentral:lncRNA from 1 species
AAAGACAGACAGACAGACACACACACACCUACACACACACACAGACCUACUACGCACAUAUAAAUAAAUACGACGGGUUCCUUUCAUUUUCCGUCUACCAUAUCUCUUCACAAGACUUAGUUGGCCCUAGGCUAUAGUGGCAGACAGUUGCCCAAAGUGCCGCACAGAAGAAAAUGGAAAGGUGUGGUUGGGAAGCAAGCUUUUUACCAGACAGCCAUACUUUAUGUAUAUAUAUACAAGGAAAAAUAUACAUAAAUAUGAGCGCAUGUGUUUAAUAUGUAUACACAUCUAUCUAUCUAUCUAUCUAUCUAUCUAUCUAUCUAUCUAUCUAUCUAUCUAUCUAUCUAUCUAUCUAUCUAUCUAUCUAUCUAUCUAUCUAUCUAUCUAUCUAUCUAUCUAUAUAUAUAUAUAUAUAUAUAUAUAUAUAUAUAUAUAUAUAUAUAUAUAUAUAUAUAUAUACAUAUAUGAGUGGCUGUGUGGUAAGAAGCCUGCAUUCCAACUACAUGGUUCCAGGUUCAGCCCACUGCGUGGCACCUUGAGCAAGUGUCUUCUACUAUAACGUCGGACCGACCAAAGCCUUGUGAGUGGAUUUGGUAGACGGAAGCUGAAAGAACCCCUUUUUUUCCCCCUCUGUCUUCCCUUCUCUGGAUCUUUCCUUCUCCUAUGUUUCCGACGAAGAGCUCCGCUCGAAACGUUAAACCCUCCUUACUUACUUCUUUCCUGAGCGUCCAAUAAUACUAUAUUUGUUCCACGCCCUCGCGUUGUUGUGUUUUCUCUUUGUGUUUUCAUGUUUGGAUUAACUAUAUAUAUAUAUAUAUAUAUAUAUAUAUAUAUAUAUAUAAUAUAUAUUAUUGGGUAUCAUUUGUUAAUGAUGUAUUGAUUAAUUUAAUAUGUUUCUGGUUGAUGUUUGUAUAUAUAUAUAUAUAUAUAUAUAUAUAUAUAUAUAUUAUAUUAUAUAAUUAUAUAUAUAUAUAUAUAUAUAUAUAUAUAUAUAUAUAUAUAUAUAUAUAUAUAUAUAUAUAUAUAUAUAUAUCGUAUAUAUAUCGUCGUAUAUAUAUAUAUAUAUAUAUAUAUACAAAGCUACACAGAAAAUUAUGUCCGGUUCCAUGUGCAGCUGCCCAUGCUCUGCUCUGUGCAGUGGAAGGUAACACGUGUAGGUCGUAAUAACCAUAAAAAUAUGGUGCAUGAAAUUAUUAUGUAAAAGGAAAUAGAUUUUGAGGAUGAACGAGUCUCCAUAUUCUAUAUAGUUACAAUUAUUGCAAAUAUACAGGCCAAAUACCACCGCCCAGAGAAGCGAAUAUGGAAUAACGCAUCGGAGUGAGUGACCUUGAACAUAACUGAGUCACCCAGCUAUCCGCCUGGGUAAUAUCUAUAUUCCUCUAAACUCACUAAUUAUAUAUAUAUAUAUAUAUAUAUAUAUAUAUAUAUAUAUAUAUAUAUAUAUAUAUAUAUAUAUAUAUAUAUACAUACAUACAUACAUACAUACAUACAUACAUAAAUACAUACAUACAUACAUACAUACAUACAUAUAUAUAUACAUACAUAAUAUACAUGUGUGUGGGUGUGUGUAUGUGUGUGUGUGCGCGGGUGCGUGUCUAAUAAGAAAAAACUCCGUAAUAGCUUCAAGCUUUAAGAUACAUUAAAUUGGCUGAUAUUUCUAAGAAGCGAUGUAGCCUGGACAGCUCGGUUCAGUUGACGAGCCCUCGAAACUUUAUACCGACUGGAGGUGAAUCAAACUGUUAUUAAAUAAUAUAUAUAUAUGUGUGUGUGUGUGUGUGAACGACAAACAGACAAAAUGCUCAAUACACGUAGAAUUUAAUUAUUCCUUUUACUAGAAGUUAAAGCUUCGCUUUUUACCACAAAAGAUUUCAUUGCACGAACAUCACAAACACACAAAACACCUGUUGCAAGCUAUGAGUGCGCUUGACAGGGACUCCUCCGCGUCUUAACCACAAUAUCCCUCUAUCAACAGCAGUUUGCACAAAGCGGCAUACUAGAAAUAGCAGCCUAAUAUAUAUUGCUCGAGUAGCGAGUGACGGGCACAAAACCUGCUGCUAAAUAUCUCUCUUCUGGCUGGGGUCACAAGUUGUCUCCCCAAGAAUUUUUUCAGGUGUCUCUCGUGUUUGAUAAUUUCCUCUGGAAUUCGAAGAUGUCCUUUUAUUAAAUCCAUAAGGAUAGGCUGCCCUCUUUAGUUAUUCUCUAAAUUUCUUUGUUCCACUGGAAUAGGGAUGAGCCAAAGAUUGAACACUUGACCUAAUCUAAACUACAUUUAGCACUUGACACUUAAACAAUACUUACGGGAUACUGACCAGGUAACUUAGACGGAUAGGGAGAGAGACAGAGCGAUAAAGAAAGAGAGAGAAACAUCGUCAGUGAGAGAAAUAGGAAGAGAGAAACAGAGAGAAAACAGAAAGGUAUGGAUAGAUAAAUAUCUAGUUAGAUAUAUACAUACAAAAUAAAUACAUAUACAUAUAAACACAGAUUUAUACAAAGUGAGAGAGAGAGAGAGAGAGAGAGAGAGAGAGAGAAAGAAAGAGUGAGAGAAAUUUGAAUGAAUUGGAAAAGGUGAAAAAUAAACGAGAGGAAGAGUGGAGGAGAGAAAGAAAGAUGGAGGGAGAGGCAUAAAGAAAUCGACCGGCUCGAUGGUGGCAGUGCACCGAACUAAACUUGGUGUGCUGGGAUCAAAUACUACAAAUAUAUGAGGAAGAGAGAAAGUGAGAUAGAGUAAGACCAUGACCAACAUGUGGUUUGGUAAGGUCUCCAUACAAAUUUUUACCGACCACCAGAAUCCACGCAAAGGCGACAGAAUUAAUAUCACAGAAGACAAGAUUUCAUUCAGACUUCCUAAAUUAGUCCCAAUUAUAUUUUGUAGACACAACAUCUUCAUUUAUAACCAUGAAAGUAAUUACAAUAAUGAUAACAGCGUUAGGUCAGUGUAUUGUUGAUGAUAACAAUGAUAAUGUUGAUAUAACAACGAUAAUGUUGAUGUAAGUAAUCAGAAAGACGAAAGAAAAGAAAGAAAAAACAAUGAUCAGAUUAACGAGACAUUAGAUAUUAAUGGCGUCCGUUAACACACUCAAUGAAGAGGCCAUUUUGAAUGCGACGUAUUUAAGGUUUAGCUUGGGGAUACAAUUGCCUGUGUCAACGUAUGUGUGUGCGUGAGUGCAUAUCUAUGGAGUAAAAGAUUUGUACGUAUGUUUCUCAUUCUCAUCUCUGUUUCUCUUUCUCAUUCUCCGCCCCCCCUUUCUCUCCUUUUCUGUAUAUACAUAUAUAUAUAUAUAUAUAUAUAUAUAUAUAAUGCAGGUGCGAUGGUUAAAUUGUCACCAUUUUAUAUUUUAAUUUCGCACAUGCGCAUAGUUUUUGAUUUUGCCGACUACACAGUAUAUUAGGUUCAGUUGGGCACCGUCUGGGAUAAAAACACCACCAUGAUGCAAUUCACUCAGCCAGAAAUUUGGAAACGAUAUGCAAUAUUGUUUAUCAUUCGCGCCGGAAACUCCAUUGCGAACAUUUCAUAGUGUUUGGUUGGCAAUCUGAGGACAGUGCAGAGGAUUCGGAAAGAGUUGAAUGAGUCUAAUGGUGAUUACGGAGGUACGGCAGCUCGGAAAACUCACUCUGAUCGUUCUGAUAAGAAAAGAACUUCUGAAUUUGUUGGUGAGAUCCAGGCCAUGAUUGACAACGAUCCCUCCAAGUCAGUCGGGUUCAUCACCUGGGAUAUAGGAGUGUCUGAGUUCCCUAUCAGGCAGGUAGUGUAUGAAGGCAUACGGGAUUCCUCAUACAAGGAUGAGAAAGGGCCAAUAUUUAUCAAAAGCCAUCAAGGACGCUACGAAGCUUCUCAACAAACUCAAGCAUCCCCUCCAACCGAGCAUGCUUUGGUUUUUCUCAGAGAAGAAAAAUUUCUGCCAGGAUCGGAUGGUGAACACACAGAACAAUCGUUUGCUUGCCGAGCCCCCAAAACAUGUACCGAGAGUGAUAAAUAUCAAACAUCCAGUCAACAUCAUGGUGUUUGGAGUGAUCACUAGUGAUGGCAACGUUAUGCUUCCAGUCAUCUUCCUACACAGCUUCAGACUCAACACGGAGGCCUACACCAAGUGCCUGGAGUAGGUAAUGUUGCUCUGGGUCAAGAGGGUGGCUGCUGGAAGACCCUAUGUCUGACAACAGGACUCUGCACCAUUCCACACAAGCAGGAGAACCCAGUCAAAGCAGUCAGUGAAUUUCUGCAACCACACCACCCCUAACAUCUGGCCACCUAACUCCCCAGACUGCAACCCCCUUGGCUAUUAUGUGUGGGGUACAGUUGAACGAGAGACCAACAAAUCUCCUUGUAACACCAGAGAUGAACUGAAGGCAAGGAUUAUGGCCGCAUUCACCAACUUCAACAGGGAGACCGUCCAGAAGAGUUGCAGGAGAUUCCAAAGUCGUUUGGCGGCCGCGGUUGAAGCCAAUGGAGAUUUUUUUGAAUAAAUUUAUACUUUAGUAUUUCAAGAUAUUUUUAUGUAAUUUUGGUAAAUAAAUCUGUUAAAAUGGGAUUUCAGUGUUGCUUUCAUUUUUACGUAAUUUAGACGACAGUUUAUUCACUUCACCCUGUGUAUGUAUGUAUACAUACACACACACACACACACACAUACACACACACGCACGCACACACACACACACACACACACACACACACACACACACACACACACACACACACACAUAUUCUAUAAUUUGUUUCAGUCAUUUGAUUGCAGCCAUGCUGGAGCGCUACCUUGAAUGGUUCUAGUCGGACAAAUCGACCCCAGGACUUAUUCUUUGUAAGCCUAGUACUUAUUCUAUCGGUCUUUAUUAAUCCACGAUUCAAUAGAUUUUAUAUAUAUGCAUAUAUACGCGCGCGUGUGUACAUUCACACAUAUACGCGGUUCCACCAAUAUUAUAACAAAAGUGGGCGAAACUUAUUUAGUAAAUAACAGAGGUUGUUCAAACUGUACAGCCUGAUUGAGUAAUCCUUCCUGCAGACAAAGGAACUUUCCAACAUUGUUUCCAUCGAAGCGAUGCGUCUGCGCCAUCGUUGAAAGCCAAUUCCUUGAAUCCUCUUUGAAAAACUUCAGCUGUCGACUCUUCUGUCCAAUUUAACCACUUUGUGUCAUCGCCUGUGUCAUCAUACCGUUGUUGCCCGAGUCUAUCCAUCAUUUAACGAAAGUAGUCAUUGAAGGGCGCCAGGUCCGGGUUACACGGUGAAUGAGUUUUUCACUGUAGUUUGCGAUGUUUCCAUUUAGAUGAUUAUAAUUAUGAAGAGGGAAAAUGGAGUGUAUUCCAUUGGCGAGACUUUAUAGAAUCAGAAAUAUUUGCAGCACCAAAUUCUCAUCCAUCGUUUUGAAAUGGAAUAAAUACUCUUUAUAUGCUUCCAUCAUUAAUUGAUUUACAGAGUAUAAAUAUUUUGGUGUGAAUUUUUUUCUUAAUUUUUCACCAAUUUGCAGCCAUUUUGUAUCAGCUUAGAUUUCAUUUCUUUCUUUGUCUCUUUUCGCAUUAAAAAAACGGGGGACUCUAAUCACUUUUUUUGCCGGCCUAUUACAAUUUUAUGUUUUGUUUUCAGCUCAUAUGUGUGCGUAUAUAUGUUUAUAUGUAUGUUUGUAUGUACGUAGAUCUCUUAUUAUAAAAGGCAGAUUUUAUCUGCCUCCCUUUGGGAGUUAUACAAAUCUACAAUAUAGGAUUUCUUCAAUUACAAUUUACCUACCAUUUUUAAGAGUACAAUGCAUCGCGUCAUGCCAGGUCCAGUUUUUAAAAUUUAAACUCCAAUUAAGCAAAAUUUACAGAAAACUCACAUUCUGGUGUGUGUGUCAAAUGCUUUUCUUAGUCUGGUUUACACCACACGCAAACGCACACACACAGUGGGCAACGAAUAAAGUGAAACUAGAUGUAAUAUUUGUUUCUCUCUAUCACGCUGAUAGAUACAUGAGUAAAAUGUAUGGGAAGCUAACACAUAAGUGUGAGUGAAAAUGUUCUUGGAAGAGAGUAAAUAGCCAGAGAUAGUGAUUUGAGGAAGACUACAUUAAAUAACCGUAGUGGCUUGUGUUAGUAAUAAAGUAAACAUACACUCAUACAUACAUACAUACAUACAUACAUACAUACAUACAUACACACACAUACAUACAUACACACAUACAUACAUACAUAUACAUACAUACAUAUACAUACAUACAUACACACACACACACACAUACACACACACACAGUAUUGAAGCUUGAGAACAAUCAGAUACAUUUGCAACACAUCUGUUGAAAAUAUUAUUGUUCACACACAUACAUAUACAUAUAUACAUACAGACAGACAGACAGAUAGACACACACACACACACACAUGAUCCAGCAUGGCCACAACCUCAAGGCUGAAACAUAUAAAAGAAUAACAGAAUAUAAAUGUGUGCAUGUGUGUGAGAGAGAGAGUGUGUGUGUAUAUGUAUGUAUGUAUGUAUGUAUAUGUAUAUAUAUAUAAUAAUGCGGUUUUUUCAACAGCUUGAACUAAAAGUCAGAGGGGAAUGGGAUAAACUACUUAUAUUAACUUGCUAUAAAAGCAGGUAGUAAUUUUAUCUUGUCCUUAUUCAUAGUGCAAGUUUUGAAGAGUGCAUUUCGAUUUUAACAGCUAUUUUUUUCAAAGCUAUAUUGGAACAGCCUAGAAGACGAGCCUCAUCCUGAAAGAUCUGUAGAACUCGACAAGGACAUCCUGAAAACCCUGGUGGAACAAAAUCUCAUCGUAACUGUUGAGGAACUAGCAGAGAAGCUUGGAUUUGGUCAUUCAACCAUUCAUUGAGACCUGUGUGCUAUCGGAAAAGUCAGCAAAUUGGGUCAAUGGGUUCCUCACGAACUUUCCGAGUCUAAUUGCAUGCAGAGAGUGAAUGUAUGCUUUUCUUUGCUGUCACAUCUCACCACUACUGCGCUAUGUAUAUCUAUAUAUAUAAAACUGUAGUUGUGUGAGUGUCUGUCCCCUUCGAUUUAGAUUCCUAACUACUCCCACAUUUUGCGGUGCAGUUUAACCAAAUUCGGGUAGCUUAUAGUCGUGAUUCAUAUCGAGCCCGUCUGAGUAUUAGCGCGCGUCUACGAUGAGUCUACGAUUUUAAAAAUAAUUUAACAUCAUUUUUUAUUCCAUUUUAAUGCAUAAUUUUUCGUGUGUCGAUGGCGGCGGAGUUGGCGUCCACGCUCACACCUGCACCUGUGGGGAAGGGAGUGUAAGGAAAUCAACGUCGUAAUGCGUUGUCAAGGAGACCAGCGUUCUUUUAGAACAACGACUUCAUGGCUUGAAGACACCAAAACAGAAAUGGCUAAGAAAGCGUCUACAUGAGUCUACGAUUUAAAAAAAAAAUUUACCAUCGUUUUUUUUCCAUUUUAAUGCAUUUAUUCGCUAUUAUAUAAGGGAAGUAACUCUCUAAAAAUGUCUACGAUGAGUCAAUGAUUUUUCAAAAAAUUUACCAUCAUAUUUUUUCCAUUUUUAAUGCAUUUUUUGCUAUUUUUUGGCUAUAACUCUCUAAAAAUGCUUAUAUAGUUAUUUCCCUUACAAACCCGAGCAACGCCGGGCGAUACUGCUAGAUACAUAAUAAAAACACACAAACAUUUAUAUAUAUUAGCUGUAUAUGUAUUAUAUGUGUGUGUGUGUAUGAAUAUAUAUGUAUGUAUAUAUACAUAUGUAUACAUCUGUGUUAGCAUACAAACACACACACACACAAACACACACGCCCACACACACACACAAACAAACACACACACACACACAUAUAUGUAUAUAUACAUAUAUACAUGCAUACAUACACAGAUAUACACAUAGAUAUACGCAUCUGUCUGUAUACAUACACAUGAACGCGCGUGCACACACACAUACACACACACAUCCUAUGUGGAUUGAGAUCCACCUUGGCAGGCGAUUGGUAUCUGUAAUCUUUGCUGUGAAAGUUAAGUUUUGCAUUUUGAACGAUCACCUCACUAAUACGUCUUUGGUGCAGUGGUUAGCACGGCUGUAGGUUUUUAUACUCCGAAAGUUAGAACGCGGUUUCAAAUUGCAAAUACCGUGGAACGUAGAACAUAAUUUACCCUUCAAUUCUUUCGGAUUUAAAGCUGUUUAUAUUUAUAAAAUAUUUAGGUUAGUUCAGCUUAUGCCGAGUGCUUUGGUACGGAGUUCAGACGCAACUCCUGACCGAUUAUUUUGAUGGUGACCCCCAAGGGAAAAUACCCUGGCACAAAGAAAGAACGCGAAUUAGCUGGGUCAGUAAAGCAUUGGAGAAAAUUCUUCGAGGUCUUUGUUCCGAAUUCUGCACUCUAGGUUCAAAUUUUACCAAUCCAGGAUGGUGAAUUUAUGGAAAUGUUUGAGGAUUUAUGGAAAUUUGCUCGAACUUUUUGCGUUGUGGUAAUAACAUCUGCAGAAACACUGGCAACGAACUGUGUAAGCCCAAACUGGCGGUUUUUUUCUUGAAUAUAAAUAACAUCGGUGAUGUGGAGAAGAAGAGACUUGUAUUCUUGGACAACCGCAAGUCACUCUCAAGAAAUCUUCUUUAGGUUUGCACAUACCUAUUUCUUUACUACCCACAAGGGGCUAAACACAGAGGGGACAAACAAGGACAGAUAAACGGAUUAAGACGAUUACAUCGACCCCAGUGCGUAACUGGUACUGAAUUUAUCGACCCCGAAAGGAUUAAAGGCAAAGUCGACCUCGGUGGAAUUUGAACUCAGAACGUAACGGCAGACGAAAUACGGCUACGCAUUUCGCCCGGCGUGCUAACGUUUCUGCCAGCUCGCCAAUAGAUGGACCCUACAUAAAUCAAUAUGAUAAUGAAGACUUCAACAGGAUGCCGACCAAAUACAAGGAGUGAUACCACUUAAUACGUACAUUGACAUGAAAUGUUGCUGUUGUUAGCAUCAUAUCACACCUGACGAAGUAAACCUAUCGGCAAAGGAGUUCCAUCCAUGGCCGUUCCGUCUUCAUGUAUAUCGAAGAAUACAUUCUUUAACGUUUUUAAAGCGAUGGGAUGUUUGGGGGAAAUGUCUAACAGGUCGAGUAGCAGUGUUGAGGGCCCUUCACUCACUCACGAGCUGAAAUGUUUAAAGCAAAUGCAGUGAAUGAGAUGUAACUCUUACUCAAUGUGUUGAGUGCCCCUUUCUUUCGUUUGUCCACCCACUCAUAUAUAUAUAUAUAUACAUAUAUAUAUAUAUAUAUAGGCGCAGGAGUGGCUGUGUGGUAAGUAACCACAUGGUUCCGGGUUCAGUCGCACUGCGUGGCAUCUUGGGCAAGUGUCUUCUACUAUAGCCCCGGGCCGACCAAUGCCUUGUGAGUGGAUUUGGUAGAGGGAAACUGAAAGAAGCCUGUCGUAUAUAUGUAUAUAUAUAUAUAUAAGUGUGUGUGUAUAUGUUUGUGUGUCUGUGUUUGUCCCCCUAGCAUUGCUUGACAACCGAUGCUGGUGUGUCUACGUCCUCGUCACUUAGCGGUUUGGCAAAAGAGACCGAUAGAAUAAGUACUGGGCUUACAAAGAAUAAGUCCCGGGGUCGAUUUGCUCGACUAAAGGCGGUGCUCCAGCAUGGCCGCUGUCAAAUGACUGAAACAAGUAAAAGAGUAAAAGAGUAUAUAUAUAUAUAUAUAUAUAUACAUAUCAGGUCAUUAAGAAUGAAAUGUCCAAUUUUGAACUGAAAGUUUAUUUUUCUUUAUCUCAACAAAAAGCAAUGCAGUUUAAUCAAAGUAUGCACCUAAAUUAUCAACACAAUUUUGCCAUUUUAUCGAUAACUUAUUUAUGCCAGCAGCGAAGAAUUCUGGAGAGCAAAAGGUGAUGAAAUCACGAAAGGCUGUGUUUGCAUCUUCAGAUUUGAAGUUUUUUCCUUACAAAAUGUUGUCUAAUGCUGGGAAAAUGUGAUAGCCAGUUGGUGCAAGUCUGGCGAAUAUGGUGGUUGACAGAGUGCUUCCAAGUUCAGUUCCUUCUUAUUUGAGUAACGUUCUUUGUGCAACAUGUGGUCAAGCAUUGUCUUGCAAGAGAAUUGGCCUGUCUCUCUUGACCAAUCUCAGUUGUUUAAUUGUAAGUUCACUCAUCAUUUCAACCAAUUGGUUGGUGUAGACAUCCGCUAUAAUUGACUUACCAGGUCUCAUGAAGCUGUAGUGGACGACACCAGCACUGGACCACCAAGCAGACACCAUUAGCUUUUUUUGCUGGAUAUUCUUUUUUAGAUUGUGUUUUGGCACUUUGUCUCUAUCCAACCACUGUGCAGAAUGCUUGCUAUUGUUGAAAAGAAUCCAUUUUUCAUCACACAUAACAACACGAUGCAAAAAUGGUUCGCUUUUAUGCUGUGACAACAAAGAACAGCAUCUUUCAAGACGAUGUGUCAUUUGAUGCUCGUUCAGUUUCUGUGGUACCCACUUGUCCAGCUUCUUUACCUUUCUGAUUUGUUUCAGAUGGUCCAAUACACCUGGAAUCGAAACAUCAAACGCGUAGUUUGAGAUGUAUCCAUUACAGUUUUCAGCUCAUCAUUAUCCACCAUGGUCUCAGGUCUACCACGGAGCUGAUUUUCAAGAGUAAAGUCACCAGACCGGAACUUCUCAGACCAUCAAUGUAUAGUCUGCUCAUCCGCCACAUCUUCACCAAACACCUCAUUGAUGUUUCGAGCUGUCUGGGAUGCAUUUGUUCCAUGAUGGAACUCAUAUUCAUAAACAACACGAAUUUUUUAUCUAUCCAUGGAUUCACAAAAAUUGAUUUACAAGAGAAAGCUCACAAUAUUAAUCAGACACUAUAAAUUGCAUUUUCAAAAGUGAUGAUGUAACUCUAAGAACAUCACAAAAAAACCGCUACUCUGAGUUUCACGUUCCCGUUCGUCGGGCAGCUGUGAUCAAGCAAGAUCACAACUGCCCGAUGAACAGGAAAGUGAAACUCUGAGUAGCAUUUGGGGUCUUACGGCUUUAAUAAAAGAAGCUCUACUUUCGGAAUUCGAUUACUAUAUUUUCUUCCAUCAUGCUUUGCAUUUAUGUGCUUACACGUGUAUAUGGAUAUCUGACAUAGAAAUAUUACGACUGCCGAUUUCGGCCGUUUACAGUCGGUGUCAGUAUGUAUGUAUACCAUGACGUUCGUUGACGGCAGCAUCAGAGGACUUUAGCUCUUAUUUCUAGCAUUGCGGGUAUCUCUAACAUCCUGUCAUUUUUAAGGACAAUUAUAGUUUUCCUUUUUGAUGUUGCAUUGCUAAACUGCUGAUGCGUAUAUAUAUAUAUAUAUAUAUAUAUAUAUACUUACAUACAGGAGACCAAAAGUGUACGUACGCCGCUGUAUAUAUAUAUAUAUAUAUAUAUAUAUAUAUAUAUAGAUAUAGAUAUAUAUAAGAAAUGGAACAAGAACGUAAGAGGCAACAACAAAACAUCCGGGCAGUUAGACAAUACAAAAAAGGACAGGAAAAAUCAAUGACGGUCAUUCGGAGCUUUCUAUCAUCAGUCGAGUUCCAGAUCGUCGUUGCAGUAUCGGCUGGUUACACUUGAGACUGCUCCAAUCUGGCCAGCCCCAAGAAGAUCGAAGUUAAGAGCACUAGAUUCUUUGGAAGAAAGCAAGUGAUAUAUAUAUAUAUAUAUACAUAGGAAACAUAGGAAACACACACACAUAUAUAUAUAUAUAUAUAUAUAUAUAUAUAUAUAUAUAUAUAUAUUUCCUAUGUUUCUGACGAAGAGCUCCGCCCGUAAAAGUUGAACCCUCCUUUUUCCCUUCCUUCCUGAGCGUCCAAUAACACUAUAUUUGUUCCACGUCCUCGCGUUGUUGUGUUUUCUCUUUGUGCUUUCAUGUUUGGAUUAACUAUAAAUAUAUAUAUAUAUAUAUAUAUAUAUAUAUAUAUAUAUAUAUAUAUAUUCUUUCUUUUAUUCUUUUAUUUGUUUCAGUCAUUUGACUGCGGCCAUGCUGUCGCACAGCCUUUAGUUGCACAAGUCUACCCCAGGACUUAUUCUUUGUAAGCCUAGUACUUAUUAUAUCGGACCCUUUUGCCGAAACGCUAAGUUACGGAGACGUAAACACACCAGCAUCGGUUGUCAAGCGAUGUUAGUGGGGGGGGCAGAUACAGACACACAAACGCAUAAACACACACACACACACACGCACACGCAUAUAUAUGUACAUAUACGACGGGAUUCUUUCAGUUUCCAUCUACCAAAUCCUCUCACAAAUCUUGCCCAAGACACUUGCCCAAGGUGCCGAUAGGACUGAUCCUGGAACCAUGCGGCUGGUAAAGCAAGCUACUUUCCACACAGCCACUCCUGCGCCUAAUUAUUUUAUUUCAUCUUCUAUUUUUAUUUCAUCAGUUUCAGCUCAGACCUGCGGCCAUGCUGAGGCACUGCCGUUUAAUACUGUUAUGAUUGAGAGCCUCCUCUAAUAUGUGGCAUUUGGUGAAUAAGGGAGUUUGAUGUCGCUACCCUUAUUUGCGUUUCCUGCCCCGAGGUAGGUUCAUCUGUAACUCUCGACAGGAAAAGAUUCAGUUUCGAAUUGAAAACACCUACAUCCACUUUGUUUAGGUCCUUCACGCUCUUU